GUCUCCCACCCUACCUCGCUGUUUGAUUUGCCUGGUCUGGUGGUUGUAUGCCUUUUUGGGGUCUUCGUUGGAGGCGCCGGCCGGGGAUGGAAUGUUGCAAUCGCUAAGGUUCCAACGCUCGAUACAUUGUUGCCGUCCCGCGUUCCAUUUUCGAACGUCCGGACAUUGUAACUUCACCGCUUUGGCACCUAGAAUGUGGUGAGCAUGAGUGGGGAGAAGUCAAUUGAAUAAAAUAGCUGACUUUGAGCAGACCAGAUUAACGUGACCUUUAUUUUGCGGCUUGGAGGGAAAUGUUUGUGGGAAAAAAUCUUCAACCUGAUUCUUGAGCGUUGGCUGCUUCAAGAUGGCUGACCGGUAUGGAAGAACGGUUUGAACACUGCACUGGACAGAGACUUGCGAUCACCAGGUGAACUGAGCUGCAAGUGAGUUUAUAAAACUGAAACAGGUUGAAUGCUGCUUUUAGAUGAUUAUGCAGCCCACUGAUCCCACUGUCAAAGGUAGGUAUA